rnacentral:rRNA from 1 species
UACAUUCAGUUGGGCACUCUAAUGAGACUGCCGGUGACAAACCGGAGGAAGGUGGGGAUGACGUCAAGUCCUCAUGGCCCUUAUAGGUGGGGCUACACACGUCAUACAAUGGAUGGUACAAAGGGUCGCCAACCCGCGAGGGGGAGCCAAUCCCAUAAAGCCAUUCGUAGUCCGGAUCGCAGUCUGCAACUCGACUGCGUGAAGUCGGAAUCGCUAGUAAUCGUGGAUCAGAAUGUCACGGUGAAUACGUUCCCGGGUCUU